UACGUAGGGGGCUAGCGUUGUCCGGAUUUAUUGGGCGUAAAGAGCGUGUAGGCGGCCAGGUAGGUCUGCUGUGAAAACUCGAGGCUCAACCUCGAGAUGUCGGCGGAAACCAUCUGGCUAGAGUCCGGAAGAGGAAAGUGGAAUUCCUGGUGUAGCGGUGAAAUGCGUAGAGAUCAUGAGGAAGACCAGUGGCGAAGGCGGGUCUCUGGACAGUUCCUGACACUGAGACACGAAGGCCAGGGGAGCAAACGGG
rnacentral:rRNA from 1 species